rnacentral:sRNA from 1 species
GUAUAAGAUCUUAAACCACAACACGAUCUUAUAAGCCUAAGUAGUGUUUCCUUGUUAGAAGAUACAAAGCCAAAGACUCAUACGGACUUUGGCUACACCAUGAAAGCUUAGAGAAGGUAGAAGAAGGUUGGUUAGUGUUUUGGAGUCGAAUAUGACUUGUUGUCAUGUGUAUGUUUGAGUAUAACAACUUAAACAACAACUCGAUCUUAAAAGCCUAAGUAGUGUAUCCUUGUUAGAAGACACAAAGCCAAAGACUCAUAUGGACUUUGGCUACACCAUGAAAGCUUUUAGAAUAUGACUAGAUGUCAUGUGUAUGAUUGAGUAUAAGAACUUAACCGCAACCCGAUCUUAUAAGCCUAAGUAGUGUUUCCUUCUUAGAAGACACAAACCCAAAGACUCAUAUGGACUUUGGCUAAACCAUGAAAGCUUUGAGAUGCAAGAAGAAGGUUGGUUAGUGUUUUGGAGUCGAAUAUGACUUGAUGUCAUAUGUAUCAUUGAG